AUACGGAAGGUCCGGGCGUUAUCCGGAUUUAUUGGGUUUAAAGGGAGCGCAGGCGGAGAUGCAAGCGUGACGUCAAAUUUCGGGGCUCAACCCCGUCUCGCGUCGCGAACUGCGUCCCUUGGUUGCGGGAAGGGGAGGCGGAACUCGUGGGGUAGCGGUGAAAUGCAUAGAUAUCACGAAGAACUCCGAUCGCGAAGGCAGCCUUCCGGCCCGUCAACGACGCUCAUGCUCGAAGGUGCGGGUAUCAAACAGGAUUAGAUACCCUGGUAGUCCGCACAGUAAACGAUGGACACCCGCGGUUUGGCCUGUAUGGCUGAGCCGCCAAGCGAAAGCGAUAAGUAAUCCACCUGGGGAGUACGCCGGCAACGGUGAAACUCAAAUGAAUUGACGGGG
rnacentral:rRNA from 1 species